rnacentral:rRNA from 1 species
GAUGAACGCUGGCGGCGUGCCUAAUACAUGCAAGUCGAGCGAACGGACGAUAAGCUUGCUUCUCUGAUGUUAGCGGCUGACGGGUGAGUAACACGUGGAUAACCUACCUAUAAGACUGGGAUAACUUCGGGAAACCGGUGCUAAUACCGGAUAAUAUUUUGAACCGCAUGGUUCAAAAGUGAAAGACGGUCUUGCUGUCACUUAUAGAUGGAUUCGCGCUGCAUUAGCUAGUUGGUAAGGUAACGGCUUACCAAGGCAACGAUGCAUAGCCGACCUGAGAGGGUGAUCGGCCACACUGGAACUGAGACACGGUCCAGACUCCUACGGGAGGCAGCAGUAGGGAAUAUUCCGCAAUGGGCGAAAGCCUGACGGAGCAACGCCGCGUGAGUGAUGAAGGUCUUCGGAUCGUAAAACUCUGUUAUUAGGGAAGAAAAUAUGUGUAAGUAACUGUGCACAUCUUGACGGUACCUAAUCAGAAAGCAACGGCUAACUACGUG